rnacentral:rRNA from 1 species
GAGGAAUAUUGGUCAAUGGGCGAGAGCCUGAACCAGCCAAGUAGCGUGAAGGAUGACUGCCCUAUGGGUUGUAAACUUCUUUUAUAAAGGAAUAAAGUCGGGUAUGGAUACCCGUUUGCAUGUACUUUAUGAAUAAGGAUCGGCUAACUCCGUGCCAGCAGCCGCGGUAAUACGGAGGAUCCGAGCGUUAUCCGGAUUUAUUGGGUUUAAAGGGAGCGUAGAUGGAUGUUUAAGUCAGUUGUGAAAGUUUGCGGCUCAACCGUAAAAUUGCAGUUGAUACUGGAUAUCUUGAGUGCAGUUGAGGCAGGCGGAAUUCGUGGUGUAGCGGUGAAAUGCUUAGAUAUCACGAAGAACUCCAAUUGCGAAGGCAGCUCACUGGAGUGUAACUGACGCUGAUGCUCGAAAGUGUGGGUAUCAAACA